CCUACGGGUGGCAGCAGUGGGGAAUAUUGGACAAUGGGGGAAACCCUGAUCCAGCCAUGCCGCGUGAGUGAUGAAGGCCUUAGGGUUGUAAAGCUCUUUCGCCAGGGAAGCGGUACCUGGAAAAGAAGCCUCGGCUAACUCCGUGCCAGCAGCCGCGGUAAGACGGAGGAGGCUAGCGUUGUUCGGAAUUACUGGGCGUAAAGCGUGCGCAGGUUGUGAGUUCAGUUGGAUGUGAAAGCCCGGGGCUUAACCUCGGAUGUGCAUCCAAUACUGGCUCGCUGGAGGUUGGAAGAGGAGAGUGGAAUUCCCAGUGUAGAGGUGAAAUUCGUAGAUAUUGGGAAGAACACCAGUGGCGAAGGCGGCUCUCUGGUCCAUCCUGACACUCAUGCACGAAAGCGUGGGGAGCAAACAGGAUUAGAUACCCUUGUAGUC
rnacentral:rRNA from 1 species